rnacentral:ncRNA from 1 species
UCCACCGCGAGUAUAACCUGAAGGAAGCCGGCGACAAAAGUUCCAGUCCGAGGAACACGAACAUUAUAUAAGGCAUAUCUGAUCGCUUGCACUACACAGCAAAAUCCUAAAGCUAUACGGAGAUCAGGGUGAAAUACGGAUAUAUCGAAUGAAAAUCAUAAAC